GACAGAGGUGGCAAGCGUUGUUCGGAUUUACUGGGCGUAAAGGGUGCGUAGGUGGUUGAGUAAGACCUGUGGGAAAGCCCUAGGCCUAACCUAGGAAGAUCACAGGUGACUGUUUAGCUAGAGGACGGGAGAGGAGAGCGGAAUUCCCGGUGUAGCGGUGAAAUGCGUAGAGAUCGGGAAGAAGGCCGGUGGCGAAGGCGGCUCUCUGGAACGUUCCUGACACUGAGGCACGAAAGCGUGGGGAGCAAACAGG
rnacentral:rRNA from 1 species